rnacentral:lncRNA from 1 species
AUGUACCCAGUCUCUUUGGUAUCCCGACUUUUUCCAGAAUUGUGCCUUUUGCCGAGUUGCAGGUCCCAGCAUUUUAGUAAUUGGUCCCUCAAGGGACUUCUGCCUUUUCCCUCUCUAAACAAUUCAAUAGAUUUGAAUGGACCAGAAGAGUCGUUGAGCAAUUAUCUAGUGAUUACCUUCCUUAUGGAGUCCAGAGAGAAUUUCAGGAAGAAAAUUGUGAGAGAGGGAAUAUCCAUCUUUAUUUGGCUUCAGCUCAAGGCAACCGGACUUCGAGAAGCCACAGAGAUAUGA